UUUGGUUAAGUUAGAAAGGGCGCACGGUGGAUGCCUUGACACUAGGAGUCGAUGAAGGACGGGACUAACGCCGAUAUGCUUCGGGGAGCUGUAAGUAAGCUUUGAUCCGAAGAUUUCCGAAUGGGGAAACCCACCAUACGUAAUGGUAUAGUAUCCUUAUCUGAAUACAUAGGGUAAGGAAGACAGACCCAGGGAACUGAAACAUCUAAGUACCUGGAGGAAGAGAAAGCAAAUGCGAUUUCCUGAGUAGCGGCGAGCGAAACGGAACAUAGCCCAAACCAAGAGGCUUGCCUCUUGGGGUUGUAGGACAUUCUAUACGGAGUUACAAAGGAACGAGGUAGACGAAGCGACCUGGAAAGGUCCGUCGUAGAGGGUAACAACCCCGUAGUCGAAACUUCGUUCUCUCUUGAAUGUAUCCUGAGUACGGCGGAACACGUGAAAUUCCGUCGGAAUCUGGGAGGACCAUCUCCCAAGGCUAAAUACUCCCUAGUGAUCGAUAGUGAACCAGUACCGUGAGGGAAAGGUGAAAAGCACCCCGGAAGGGGAGUGAAAGAGAUCCUGAAACCGUGUGCCUACAAAUAGUCAGAGCCCGUUAACGGGUGAUGGCGUGCCUUUUGUAGAAUGAACCGGCGAGUUACGAUCCCGUGCGAGGUUAAGCUGAAGAGGCGGAGCCGCAGCGAAAGCGAGUCUGAAUAGGGCGUUUAGUACGUGGUCGUAGACCCGAAACCAGGUGAUCUACCCAUGUCCAGGGUGAAGUUCAGGUAACACUGAAUGGAGGCCCGAACCCACGCACGUUGAAAAGUGCGGGGAUGAGGUGUGGGUAGCGGAGAAAUUCCAAUCGAACCUGGAGAUAGCUGGUUCUCCCCGAAAUAGCUUUAGGGCUAGCCUUAAGUGUAAGAGUCUUGGAGGUAGAGCACUGAUUGGACUAGGGGUCCUCAUCGGAUUACCGAAUUCAGUCAAACUCCGAAUGCCAAUGACUUAUCCUUAGGAGUCAGACUGCGAGUGAUAAGAUCCGUAGUCAAAAGGGAAACAGCCCAGACCGCCAGCUAAGGUCCCAAAGUGUGUAUUAAGUGGAAAAGGAUGUGGAGUUGCUUAGACAACUAGGAUGUUGGCUUAGAAGCAGCCACCAUUUAAAGAGUGCGUAAUAGCUCACUAGUCGAGUGACUCUGCGCCGAAAAUGUACCGGGGCUAAAUACACCACCGAAGCUGCGGAUUGAUACCAAUGGUAUCAGUGGUAGGGGAGCGUUCUAAGGACAGUGAAGUCAGACCGGAAGGACUGGUGGAGUGCUUAGAAGUGAGAAUGCCGGUAUGAGUAGCGAAAGACGGGUGAGAAUCCCGUCCACCGAAUGCCUAAGGUUUCCUGAGGAAGGCUCGUCCGCUCAGGGUUAGUCAGGACCUAAGCCGAGGCCGACAGGCGUAGGCGAUGGACAACAGGUUGAUAUUCCUGUACCACCUCUUUAUCGUUUGAGCAAUGGAGGGACGCAGAAGGAUAGAAGAAGCGUGCGAUUGGUUGUGCACGUCCAAGCAGUUAGGCUGAUAAGUAGGCAAAUCCGCUUAUCGUGAAGGCUGAGCUGUGAUGGGGAAGCUCCUUAUGGAGCGAAGUCUUUGAUUCCCCGCUGCCAAGAAAAGCUUCUAGCGAGAUAAAAGGUGCCUGUACCGCAAACCGACACAGGUAGGCGAGGAGAGAAUCCUAAGGUGUGCGAGAGAACUCUGGUUAAGGAACUCGGCAAAAUGACCCCGUAACUUCGGGAGAAGGGGUGCUUUCUUAACGGAAAGCCGCAGUGAAUAGGCCCAAGCGACUGUUUAGCAAAAACACAGCUCUCUGCGAAGCCGUAAGGCGAAGUAUAGGGGGUGACACCUGCCCGGUGCUGGAAGGUUAAGGAGAGGGGUUAGCGUAAGCGAAGCUCUGAACUGAAGCCCCAGUAAACGGCGGCCGUAACUAUAACGGUCCUAAGGUAGCGAAAUUCCUUGUCGGGUAAGUUCCGACCCGCACGAAAGGUGUAACGAUUUGGGCACUGUCUCAACCAGAGACUCGGUGAAAUUAUAGUACCUGUGAAGAUGCAGGUUACCCGCGACAGGACGGAAAGACCCCGUGGAGCUUUACUGUAGCCUGAUAUUGAAUUUUGGUACAGUUUGUACAGGAUAGGCGGGAGCCUUUGAAACCGGAGCGCUAGCUUCGGUGGAGGCGCUGGUGGGAUACCGCCCUGACUGUAUUGAAAUUCUAACCUACGGGUCUUAUCGACCCGGGAGACAGUGUCAGGUGGGCAGUUUGACUGGGGCGGUCGCCUCCUAAAGUGUAACGGAGGCGCCCAAAGGUUCCCUCAGAAUGGUUGGAAAUCAUUCGUAGAGUGCAAAGGCAUAAGGGAGCUUGACUGCGAGACCUACAAGUCGAGCAGGGACGAAAGUCGGGCUUAGUGAUCCGGUGGUUCCGCAUGGAAGGGCCAUCGCUCAACGGAUAAAAGCUACCCCGGGGAUAACAGGCUUAUCUCCCCCAAGAGUCCACAUCGACGGGGAGGUUUGGCACCUCGAUGUCGGCUCAUCGCAUCCUGGGGCUGUAGUCGGUCCCAAGGGUUGGGCUGUUCGCCCAUUAAAGCGGUACGCGAGCUGGGUUCAGAACGUCGUGAGACAGUUCGGUCCCUAUCCGUCGUGGGCGUAGGAAAUUUGAGAGGAGCUGUCCUUAGUACGAGAGGACCGGGAUGGACGCACCGCUGGUGUACCAGUUGUUCUGCCAAGGGCAUAGCUGGGUAGCUAUGUGCGGAAGGGAUAAGUGCUGAAAGCAUCUAAGCAUGAAGCCCCCCUCAAGAUGAGAUUUCCCAUAGCGUAAGCUAGUAAGAUCCCUGAAAGAUGAUCAGGUUGAUAGGUUCGAGGUGGAAGCAUGGUGACAUGUGGAGCUGACGAAUACUAAUAGAUCGAGGACUUAACCAUAUAA
rnacentral:rRNA from 1 species